rnacentral:rRNA from 1 species
CCAGCACCCCGAGUGGUCGGGACGAUUAUUGGGCCCCUAAAGCAUCCGUAGCCGGUUUUACAAGUCCUCCGUUAAAUCCAACUGCUUAACAGAUGGGCCGCGGAGGAUACUAUAAGACUAGGAGGCAGGAGAGGCAAGCGGUACUCAGUGGGUAGGGGUAAAAUCCGUUGAUCCAUUGAAGACCACCAGUGGCGAAGGCGGCUUGCCAGAAUGCGCUCGACGGUGAGGGAUGAAAGCUGGGGGAGCAAACCGGAUUAGAUACCCGGGUAGUCCCAGCCGUAAACGAUGCAGACUCGGUGAUGGACCAGCUUCAUGCUAGUCCAGUGCCGCAGGGAAGCCGUUAAGUCUGCCGCCUGGGUAGUACGGUCGCAAGACUG